UUUUUAAAGUCUGACCUGCCCACUGAAAUUUUUAAAUGGCCGCAGUAUUUUAACUGUGCAAAGGUAGCAUAAUCAUUAGUCUUUUAAUUGAAGGCUGGUAUGAACGGUUGGACGAGGUAUAAGCUGUUUCAUAUAAAUUUAUAAUAGAAUUUUAUAUUUUAGUUAAAAAGCUAAAAUAUGGUUAAAAGACGAGAAGACCCUAUAAAUCUUUAUAUUUUAUUUUGUUUAAAUUUUUUAGAUUAUUUUUGUUUUUAUAAUUUAAAAUAUUUUGUUGGGGUGAUAUUAAAAUUUAAUGAACUUUUAAUUAUUUAAAAUCAUUAAUUUAUGAGCUAUUGAUCCAUUAGUAGUGAUUAUAAGAUUAAGUUACUUUAGGGAUAACAGCGUAAUUUUUUUGGAGAGUUCAUAUCGAUAAAAAAGUUUGCGACCUCGAUGUUGGAUUAAGAAAUAUUUUUAGGUGUAGCCGCUUAAAU
rnacentral:rRNA from 1 species